rnacentral:rRNA from 1 species
UGCAACCUACGGGAGGCAGCAGUGGGGGAUAUUGCACAAUGGGGGAAACCCUGAUGCAGCGACGCCGCGUGGGCGAAGAAGUAUUUCGGUAUGUAAAGCCCUAUCAGUAGGGAAGAAGAAAUGACGGUACCUGACCAAGAAGCCCCGGCUAACUACGUGCCAGCAGCCGCGGUAAUACGUAGGGGGCAAGCGUUAUCCGGAAUUACUGGGUGUAAAGGGAGCGUAGACGGUGAUGCAAGUCUGGAGUGAAAGGCGGGGGCCCAACCCCCGGACUGCUCUGGAAACUGUAUGACUUGAGUGCAGGG